UCCACACACACACACACACACACACACACACAUAUACGCAACGCAGCACAUUAGAAAUGACCAUAAAACACAAACAAAACAGUUGCCAAGAACAACAACAAUUACGAAGACCAAGUUGAUCGUCAUGGAGCGCUUCCAGAAGCAGACUUCAAGUGCGCCAACAACCACAGACGUGGGGCGUGAAAGAGGAGGGUAGAGGAAGAAGGUGGAGCAGAAAAAAACUGGCACAAAGUGCACAGAACGUACUUAGAACGUCUUUAAGUUCAACAUAAAAAAACACACAACUUGGGCAAACAUAAAUCCCAACAACACAAGCAAACGGCAGUCGCUGGGCAGCUGGCCAGCAUAUUUAGGCGAUUAUUUAUGGCCAAUGGCGACGACGAAAAAUCCGACACUCGGCGCGACUUGUUGGCAAGCACAUGGAUAUAGCUACAGAUACAGAUACAGCUGCACAUUUAUAGCUAACAAUAUAUGCGUCUGGCUGGCUGUGUGUGUGUGUGGAGGCGGCAGCAAACAAGCCCAAACAUGAGCGGAUCGACCACUUCCACUUGCCAACUGUCUGCUGUUUAUUGACGGCAGCAA
rnacentral:sRNA from 1 species